rnacentral:misc_RNA from 1 species
GAUGAAGAACGCAGCGAAAUGCGAUAAGUAAUGUGAAUUGCAGAAUUCAGUGAAUCAUCGAAUCUUUGAACGCACAUUGCGCCCUUUGGUAUUCCGAAGGGCAUGCCUGUACGAGCGUCAUUUCACCACUCAAGCCUGGCUUGGUAUUGGGCGCCGCGGUCGAUCCGCGCGCCUCAAAGUCUCCGGCUGAGCUGUCCGUCUCUAAGCGUUGUGAUUUCAUUAAUCGCUUCGGAGUGCGGGCGGCCGCGGCCGUUAAAUCUUUCACAAGGUUGACCUCGGAUCAGGUAGGGAUACCCGCUGAACUUAAGCAUAUCAAUAAGCGGAGGA